rnacentral:piRNA from 1 species
UGGAGCGAUUCUUUGAAACUC